rnacentral:rRNA from 1 species
AUUGAACGCUGGCGGCAGGCCUAACACAUGCAAGUCGAGCGGAUGAAGGGAGCUUGCUCCUGGAUUCAGCGGCGGACGGGUGAGUAAUGCCUAGGAAUCUGCCUGGUAGUGGGGGAUAACGUCCGGAAACGGGCGCUAAUACCGCAUACGUCCUGAGGGAGAAAGUGGGGGAUCUUCGGACCUCACGCUAUCAGAUGAGCCUAGGUCGGAUUAGCUAGUUGGUGGGGUAAAGGCCUACCAAGGCGACGAUCCGUAACUGGUCUGAGAGGAUGAUCAGUCACACUGAACAGAAGCCAGGUUCCGAACUCCACGGGGAGCCACCGGUGGGAAAUUUUGACAAUGGGCGGAAGGCUUGUCCCGGCCUUGCGGGUGUUUUAAAGAGGGCCUUGGAUUGGAAAGGCCUUUAAGUUGGGGGGAAGGGGAGUAAGUUAAUACCUUGCUGUUUUGACGUUAACAACAGGAUAAGCACCGGCUAACUUCGUG